rnacentral:lncRNA from 1 species
UACAAGACCUGGAAGUGCAGGUCCUCUACUUCACGCACACACCAAGCACCAUAAGAAAGAGGGAUGAAGAUCCAUGCAUCAUUCCUUCUAAAGGCAGCAAAGGAGGGAUGAGAUUUGAUCUUGGAUGUGACCCUUCACACCAAGAUGAUGGACACCUGGAGCUCUUCACACCAAGAGGAAAAUCACAUCAAAAACCCAUGCCA